CUGAUGCGUUGUUGGGUAGGGGAGCGUUCUGUAAGCCUGCGAAGGUGGCCUGUGAGGGUUGCUGGAGGUAUCAGAAGUGCGAAUGCUGACAUAAGUAACGAUAAAGCGGGUGAAAAGCCCGCUCGCCGGAAGACCAAGGGUUCCUGUCCAACGUUAAUCGGGGCAGGGUGAGUCGACCCCUAAGGCGAGGCCGAAAGGCGUAGUCGAUGGGAAACGGGUUAAUAUUCCCGUACUUGGUGUUACUGCGAAGGGGGGACGGAGAAGGCUAUGUUGGCCGGGCGACGGUUGUCCCGGUUUAAGCGUGUAGGCUGGUUUUCCAGGCAAAUCCGGAAAAUCAAGGCUGAGGCGUGAUGACGAGGCACUACGGUGCUGAAGCAACAAAUGCCCUGCUUCCAGGAAAAGCCUCUAAGCAUCAGGUAACAUCAAAUCGUACCCCAAACCGACACAGGUGGUCAGGUAGAGAAUACCAAGGCGCUUGAGAGAACUCGGGUGAAGGAACUAGGCAAAAUGGUGCCGUAACUUCGGGAGAAGGCACGCUGACACGUAGGUGAAGUGAUUUACUCAUGGAGCUGAAGUCAGUCGAAGAUACCAGCUGGCUGCAACUGUUUAUUAAAAACACAGCACUGUGCAAACACGAAAGUGGACGUAUACGGUGUGACGCCUGCCCGGUGCCGGAAGGUUAAUUGAUGGGGUCAGCGCAAGCGAAGCUCCUGAUCGAAGCCCCGGUAAACGGCGGCCGUAACUAUAACGGUCCUAAGGUAGCGAAAUUCCUUGUCGGGUAAGUUCCGACCUGCACGAAUGGCGUAAUGAUGGCCAGGCUGUCUCCACCCGAGACUCAGUGAAAUUGAACUCGCUGUGAAGAUGCAGUGUACCCGCGGCAAGACGGAAAGACCCCGUGAACCUUUACUAUAGCUUGACACUGAACAUUGAGCCUUGAUGUGUAGGAUAGGUGGGAGGCUUUGAAGUGUGGACGCCAGUCUGCAUGGAGCCGACCUUGAAAUACCACCCUUUAAUGUUUGAUGUUCUAACGUGGACCCGUUACCCGGGUUGCGGACAGUGUCUGGUGGGUAGUUUGACUGGGGCGGUCUCCUCCUAAAGAGUAACGGAGGAGCACGAAGGUUGGCUAAUCCUGGUCGGACAUCAGGAGGUUAGUGCAAUGGCAUAAGCCAGCUUGACUGCGAGCGUGACGGCGCGAGCAGGUGCGAAAGCAGGUCAUAGUGAUCCGGUGGUUCUGAAUGGAAGGGCCAUCGCUCAACGGAUAAAAGGUACUCCGGGGAUAACAGGCUGAUACCGCCCAAGAGUUCAUAUCGACGGCGGUGUUUGGCACCUCGAUGUCGGCUCAUCACAUCCUGGGGCUGAAGUAGGUCCCAAGGGUAUGGCUGUUCGCCAUUUAAAGUGGUACGCGAGCUGGGUUUAGAACGUCGUGAGACAGUUCGGUCCCUAUCUGCCGUGGGCGCUGGAGAACUGAGGGGGGCUGCUCCUAGUACGAGAGGACCGGAGUGGACGCAUCACUGGUGUUCGGGUUGUCAUGCCAAUGGCACUGCCCGGUAGCUAAAUGCGGAAGAGAUAAGUGCUGAAAGCAUCUAAGCACGAAACUUGCCCCGAGAUGAGUUCUCCCUGAGACUUAGAGUCUCCUGAAGGAACGUUGAAGACGACGACGUUGAUAGGCCGGGUGUGUAAGCGCAGCGAUGCGUUGAGCUAACCGGUACUAAUGAACCGUGAGGCUUAACCUUACAACGCCGAAG
rnacentral:rRNA from 1 species